rnacentral:rRNA from 1 species
UACGAAGGACCCGAGCGUUAUCCGGAUUUAUUGGGUUUAAAGGGUGCGUAGGCGGAUUUAUAAGUCAGUGGUGAAAGCCUAUAGCUUAACUAUAGAAUUGCCAUUGAUACUGUAGGUCUUGAGUACAGUUGAGGUGGGCGGAAUGUGCAGUGUAGCGGUGAAAUGCUUAGAUAUUGCACAGAACACCAAUUGCGAAGGCAGCUCGCUAAGCUGUAACUGACGCUGAGGCACGAAAGUGUGGGGAGCAAACAGG